rnacentral:rRNA from 1 species
UACGAAGGGGGCUAGCGUUGCUCGGAAUGACUGGGCGUAAAGGGCGCGUAGGCGGAUGACACAGUCAGAUGUGAAAUUCCCGGGCUUAACCUGGGGGCUGCAUUUGAUACGUGUUGUCUAGAGUGAGGAAGAGGGUUGUGGAAUUCCCAGUGUAGAGGUGAAAUUCGUAGAUAUUGGGAAGAACACCGGUGGCGAAGGCGGCAACCUGGUCCUUGACUGACGCUGAGGCGCGAAAGCGUGGGGAGCGAACAGG